GCGUAUCCAGAGUAUAAACAUUGACAAUGACAUGGAGGUGGCCUUUGAUUUUAUUGCAAAAGAGCAUAUCUGCGCCCUGCCCUGCAACGCAGAUUCUAUCCUGACAGGAGCAAAAAUGGAAUCCAUGCGACCCACUUAACUGCUGAGCUGAGGAAGUGACAUUUAAUUCACUUUAGAGUUAUUGCUCCAAGCAAAUACUAAUAACUGGGCCAUACUUUGUGUGGAUUGAACUUGAAAGACAGAUUCCAGUAGGGCUUAAAGCCACUGUCAAUCUCUUUUCAGCGAGGAUUGGCUUCACUAUGAAGAUUCAGCUGGACAAGUCCUGGUUGCCCAAGAACAACCUGGAGUUUAUUUUAAGGCUUGUUCCUUUGCAACUGCAGCUUUACCUCCAUACACCUGUAUGACUUAGAGAAAAUUUGGCUCAUGAUCUGGAGGUUCCCCAUGACUGGUUAAACUGAGAUUAGCAAGCACAAACCAGGUUGAUAUCAUGGUAUCAAAUUAUGGUUUGUUCUCACUCCACAGCUCCAUGAAGUGAGACAUCACAUAGAACUGUGGUAUCUUCAGAACUAAAAGUAGCUCUUGGAGAAGUAGAGAAAGAAGGAGCACAUGAGCUCAAGACAUACUGUGUCUCUUGCUCAUGAUGGAAAAUCAAGGUGCAUUUCUAGACCUAUAAAGUGGCCUUUUAUUUAACAACACACUGUAGCCACAAUGAUGAGGAAUCCCAUGCAGGUGAGUGAAUGGCUUAGCAAUGGAGGUGAUGGCUAUCUCCAUCCCUUGUCCACCAUAGUGCUCCACCAAGUUGAGAAGAAUGGGAAGGCAGUCUUUCAGCUCUACCCCUUCUUUGCCACCUGUGUUGAUAGAAUACAAGGAGGUUUUACAAGCCUGCUAAGAGGCUAGUAUCCUCAAUAUCCGUAUUGGAGAUUGAGGAGGUAGUUCCGUGGUAAUGCAGAAUAGUACUCUCUUAACUAGUAAUGUUAUACAUAUAUUUGCAGGCUAUGAACUUUUGUGGGCUUAUUUACAAGGACGUUAUGUACAUUGCUGAAACUGAGACUAGAUAUGUAGAAGCAACUCCUUGAAAUAAAAUCAGUUUGGUGGUCAGUAUCUAGCGUUUGCAUUCAGGUUUGUCCAUGUUCAGUGCUUCAGAGUCACAAAGAUGCUCUCCCUUGGAAAGCUGUCCUUCUGACUCUCUGGAACCCUAAUGCCGCCCUUUGAACAUGCACACUGAGUUUCAUGCUCCUGCACUGGCACAGCAGUCAGUGCUCUGUUUCUGGGGUUUCUGAACAUAGCCUUGACCCCUUUCUACUGUCUCUCUUGGUUGGAGCCAGAGGCAGAGUAUCAACUCACUGGCUGCCCUAUCCUAAUCUGUGCCUCUCCCUUUGAGAUUUAUUGUUAGUGCUGGACUAUCAGUAAGGCAGCUCUCUCCCUCUCUUCCUCCUUUUUUCCUGGAGUUCCUCUCAUAAGGACUUUAAAGUGCGCUGUAAGCCAGCAUGACUCUUCUUCCCUCUUUCUCUCUUUGCUUGCUCACAGGCUGAGGGCAAGAACUGCCUGGUGGAAACAUCUGUAUUUAUACUGAUUAGUAUCACCAAUCUGCUACUUUAAAAAGGCAUGUCUAUUUAACAUACAUUUAAGUGCUAAUUAUCACUGACUGUAAUUGCUGCAUCUCGUUGCCCCACCCACCUUACAGUUUUCUCCUUUAUGUACCUGCCAACUGAUGUUUCACUUCAUGCAUUUGACAAAGUGAGUCCACGAAAACUUAGGCCACAGUACAUUUGUUAGUCUUUAAGGCAUCACAAGGCUUUUGGUUGUUUAUAGUGGGAAGGCUGAAAUCCUGAACCUGUUUACCUGGGGCCAGCCCAUUGAAUUCAAUAGUUUUUUUAAGAGACCUGUUGUAUUGUAUUGCCUGUUAGUUACACAUGGGAUGCCGAGAUGUUGUUGUCUGUUGUGAGUUAUUGCCAUACAUUUGAUCUGAAUAGAGACAAUAGUUUCCAUUCCUGCUACAGGUGUUAAUUAACUUUACAUUGUCAAUUUGAUUGUUUUAUCACCUACUACUGCUGUUAUAAAGGCCUACUGUGUUUAUUUUGCACACACUCAAGCAGUAAUUGAAUUAUCGCUGUCUGAACUACUUUCAUUUCAUUUCUCUUUGAUCUCGCUGCUUACAACUCCUCUUACAACCAUGUGAAUGUUUAUCUGCAUCUGAGGAUUACAUCUGAUGAAGUCAACUCUAGUCCACACAAGUUUAUACCAUAAUAAAAUUUGUUAAUCUUUA